rnacentral:misc_RNA from 1 species
GAUGAAGAACGUAGCGAAAUGCGAUAAGUAAUGUGAAUUGCAGAAUUCAGUGAAUCAUCGAAUCUUUGAACGCACAUUGCGCCCUCUGGUAUUCCGGGGGGCAUACCUGUUCGAGCGUCAUUAUAACCACUCAAGCUCUCGCUUGGUAUUGGGGUUCGCGGUUCCGCGGCCCCUAAAAUCAGUGGCGGUGCCUGUCGGCUCUACGCGUAGUAAUACUCCUCGCGAUUGAGUCCGGUAGGUCUACUUGCCAGCAACCCCCAAUUUUUACAGGUUGACCUCGGAUCAGGUAGGGAUACCCGCUGAACUUAAGCAUAUCAAUAAGCGGAGGA